GACGAACGCUGGCGGCGUGCUUAACACAUGCAAGUCGAACGGAAAGGCCCUGCUUGCAGGGUACUCGAGUGGCGAACGGGUGAGUAACACGUGGGUGAUCUGCCCUGCACUUCGGGAUAAGCCUGGGAAACUGGGUCUAAUACCGGAUAGGAGCCAUUUUUAGUGUGAUGGUUGGAAAGUUUUUUCGGUGUAGGAUGAGCUCGCGGUCUAUCAGCUUGUUGGUGGGGUAAUGGCCUACCAAGGCGGCGACGGGUAGCCGGCCUGAGAGGGUGGACGGCCACAUUGGGACUGAGAUACGGCCCAGACUCCUACGGGAGGCAGCAGUGGGGAAUAUUGCACAAUGGGCGCAAGCCUGAUGCAGCGACGCCGCGUGGGGGAUGACGGCCUUCGGGUUGGAAACUCCUUUCGCUAGGGACGAAGCUUUUUGUGACGGUACCUAGAGAAGAAGCACCGGCUAACUACGUG
rnacentral:rRNA from 1 species